rnacentral:rRNA from 1 species
GGAGUUUGGGCCGUGUCUCAGUCCCAAUGUGGCCGUUCAACCUCUCAGUCCGGCUAUAGAUCGUUGCUUUGGUGGGCCGUUACCCCGCCAACUGGCUAAUCUAACGCGGGUCCAUCUCAUAGCGAUGAAUCUUUUCCCUCUCUGCCAUGCGGCAGUGUGGGCUUAUGCGGUAUUAGCAAUCGUUUCCAACUGUUAUCCCCCUCUAUGAGGCAGGUUACCCACGCGUUACUCACCCGUCCGCCACUAAGUAUUCCCUUCCCUUUGACGAAUCUCCGUUUAGGGGUACUCCGUUCGACUUGCAUGUGUUAGGCACGCCGCCAGCGUUCAUC